UGAAUCAGACACGAGUUAUACGACAACCACGUCUACUACUAGCCAAUAUUAUUCAAACCGUGUGAAUCACUGAAUUUAUUACACUCUCUCCGAUCGAUGUUCAAUAACAGCAGCAGCAUCGCAAUCAACGUCUCCGACGAAGAUUCCGACGACAUUUCCGGCAAAUUAAAACUACGACUCCGGAAAAAACGGAAGAAAUCUGGGCCCCGCGGGAAAUCCGAAUCAGCUCGCCGAAUCUUUAGACUGCUCCGUCGAUGGUGGCCGGUGUUGCUGUUCCUUCCGGCCGCCGGACUCUUAUUUUUCGAGGCCUCGAGAAUAGGGCGCAAACCGAGUCAAUUGAUAAACUCGGAGGUCGUGACUCAGAAGACUCGCGAGUUAGCUGGGGAGAAGAAGUCGAGCGGGAAUUUGAACCGGUUAGAUCCGACUCGUUGUUUGAAGCUACUUCCUCCUGAAGAACUUCAGCAUUUGGAUAUACCAAUUAGAAAGGAGCCUGUUGGUCCUAUUAAAGAAUUGGUUUACGUGUCAGAGACUGACGGAGUUCAAUCCCGUCCGCAGAUGGAUAUCACACGAUCUAAUCUUUUUACCGGAAACCAAUCUUUAGAGCAGAGGGAGCAAUCUUUUAACAGUGUGAAUGAAAUUUCAAGGGCGCAUUGUGGUUUCUAUAGUAAGGAUGGCGGGUUCAUUGUCUCUGAUGAUGACAAAAGUUUCAUGCAAACAUGCAAAGUUGUGGUAUCUACUUGUACUUUUGGUGGUGGAGAUGAUCUUUAUCAACCUAUCGGGAUGUCAGAGACAUCACUUCAGAAGGUCUGCUAUGUGGCGUUUUGGGAUGAAAUCACUCUUGCUGCACAGGCUGCUGCAGGGCACAAAGUUGGCGAGGACCAGUAUAUUGGAGUGUGGCGCAUCGUGUUAGUUACAAAUCUUCCUUUUAAUGAUCAGAGGUUGAAUGGUAAAAUUCCAAAGAUGUUAGCCCAUCGUCUCUUUCCACACGCAAGCUAUUCGAUCUGGGUAGACUCAAAAUCUCAAUUCAGGAGAGACCCUCUUGGUGUGCUGGAAGCCCUUCUUUGGCAGUCAGAUUCUGUACUUGCAAUAUCUGAACACGGAGCUAGAAGUAGCGUUUAUGAUGAGGCAAAUGCUGUUGUCAAGAAACACAAAGCCAGCCCAGAAGAAGUGGAAAUACAAUUAUCUCAAUACCGCCAAGACGGCCUCCCAGAAGAUAAGAGGUUUAAUGGGAAAAAAGCUCUCUCUGAGGCCUCUGUAAUUGUAAGAGAACACACACCAACGACUAAUCUGUUCAUGUGCCUUUGGUUCAAUGAAGUGGUUCGUUUCACUUCUCGUGAUCAACUGAGUUUUCCAUAUGUUCUCUGGCGUUUGAAAGUGUUGAAGAAUAUCAACAUGUUCCCUGUUUGCACUCGAAAGGAUCUUGUUAAUAGCAUGGGCCAUAUCCGGAAGGCCAAGCCUCUUGUAAUAUAGUUAGCUGCUGUUUGGUCAUGCGCAAUUGCAAAUUCAUAUCGUCAGGAGAUUUGGAUUAUACACGGUGUUGAUACAAUGAUAUGUGACAACAGUCAUUUUCCGGGAGGGGAGAUUAAAAGCGACAGCGAACAACCCCUAUUCCACUAACAACUGAUAAAGAAAACAGAAUAGAUGUUAUUACAAGGUAAGUGCUUUACUUAAUAGUAUCUUUCACAGUAUAUAGUGCACUCUUUCUCAUCUAGCACGCCAAAAAUUUAUCACAAAUGUCAUUCAUGAGCUGCACUGUGACCAAUACAGACAAUGGAGAUCUAAAUGUCUUAUGUAAAAGCUAUUGCUUGUGCAUUAAAAGGAGAUGCGCGUUUAUGAUGAUUUGACCCAAAGCUCCGUACUUGAUGUCCAAAAUGUAAAAGAGCGAACCAUGUAUCCAUUCCACGGCUGCGAUGUAUUUUGUGCAAUGCAGUUUCAAAGUUCCAACUCUCAUCAUGUUAUCACCAUGAGAAAGGCAGUUCACAGUUGCCUUGGUAGAUGCAACACAGAGUACUCUUUUCUAGUGAAAGAUCAAUUAUGCAGAGUUAAAUAUAGCUCUUGCAGUAUAUGCACCGGAAAAUACAUACGAAGCAGUACGAUUCAUGUGUGCUUAGGUAAAGGAACAAGGGAGAAUGAAUGGAAUGGAACAACUGAGAAUGUAAUAAAAUUUGUGUCUUUCUGUAGAUAAAUUUUAUUCUUUCAAUAAUUUCAUUCCAAAUUAUUUGAACUAAAAAUUUAAUCCCUAUAAACAUAUUUGAAAGAAUAUUCAUUAUGCUUCUUCUUCGUUAUA